AGUGAACGCUGGCGGUAGGCCUAACACAUGCAAGUCGAACGGCAGCACAGUAAGAGCUUGCUCUUACGGGUGGCGAGUGGCGGACGGGUGAGAAAUACAUCGGAAUCUACUUUUUCGUGGGGGAUAACGUAGGGAAACUUACGCUAAUACCGCAUACGACCUACGGGUGAAAGCAGGGGAUCUUCGGACCUUGCGCGAUUGAAUGAGCCGAUGUCGGAUUAGCUAGUUGGCGGGGUAAAGGCCCACCAAGGCGACGAUCCGUAGCUGGUCUGAGAGGGUGAUCAGCCACACUGGAACUGAGACACGGUCCAGACUCCUACGGGAGGCAGCAGUGGGGAAUAUUGGACAAUGGGCGCAAGCCUGAUCCAGCCAUACCGCGUGGGUGAAGAAGGCCUUCGGGUUGUAAAGCCCUUUUGUUGGGAAAGAAAAGCAGCAGGUUAAUACCCCACUGUUCUGACGGUACCCAAAGAAUAAGCACCGGCUAACUUCGUG
rnacentral:rRNA from 1 species